rnacentral:rRNA from 1 species
CAUGCAAGUCGAACGUGAUUUUUAUGGAAUAGCCUUCGGGAUAGGAAAUGAAAUGAAAGUGGCGAACGGGUGAGAUAACACGUGAGCAACCUACCUUACACAGGGGGAUAGCCGUUGGAAACGACGAUUAAUACCGCAUGAGACCACAGAACCGCACGGUAAGGGGUCAAAGAUUUAUCGGUGUAAGAUGGGCUCGCGUCUGAUUAGCUAGUUGGAAGGGUAAAGGCCUACCAAGGCGACGAUCAGUAGCCGGUCUGAGAGGAUGAACGGCCACAUUGGAACUGAGACACGGUCCAAACUCCUACGGGAGGCAGCAGUGGGGAAUAUUGCACAAUGGGGGAAACCCUGAUGCAGCGACGCCGCGUGAGCGAAGAAGGUUUUCGAAUCGUAAAGCUCUGUCCUAUGAGAAGAUAAUGACGGUAUCAUAGGAGGAAGCCCCGGCUAAAUACGUGCCAGCAGCCGCGGUAAUACGUAUGGGGCGAGCGUUGUCCGGAAUUAUUGGGCGUAAAGGGUACGUAGGCGGUCUAUUAAGUCAGGUGUGAAAGCGUGAGGCUUAACCUCAUUAAGCACUUGAAACUGAUAGACUUGAGUGAAGGAGAGGAAAGUGGAAUUCCUAGUGUAGCGGUGAAAUGCGUAGAUAUUAGGAGGAAUACCGGUGGCGAAAGCGACUUUCUGGACUUUUACUGACGCUCAGGUACGAAAGCGUGGGGAGCAAACAGGAUUGGAUACCCUGGUAGUCCACGCCGUAAACGAUGAAUGCUAGGUGUUGGGGGUCAAACCUCGGUGCCGAAGUUAACACAUUAAGCAUUCCGCCUGGGGAGUACGGUGGCAACACUGAAACUCAAA